rnacentral:rRNA from 1 species
UAGUCCACACCGUAAACGAUGAGAGCUAGUUGUCUGCAGGCAUGCCUGUAGGUGACGCAGCUAACGCAUUAAGCUCUCCGCCUGGGGAGUACGGUCGCAAGAUUAAAACUCAAAGAAAUUGACGGGGGCCCGCACAAGCGGUGGAGCAUGUGGUUUAAUUCGAUGCAACGCGAAGAACCUUACCUACCCUUGACAUUGACAGAAUCCUGUAGAGAUACGGGAGUGCCUUCGGGCCUGGAAACAGGUGCUGCAUGGCUGUCGUCAGCUCGUGUCGUGAGAUGUUGGGUUAAGUCCCGUAACGAGCGCAACCCUUGUCCUUAGUUGCCAGCACGUAAUGGUGGGGACUCUAAGGAGACUGCCGGUGACAAACCGGGAGGAAGGUGGGGACGACGUCAAGUCAUCAUGGCCCUUAUGGGGUAGGGGCUACACACGUGCUACAAUGGGCAGUACAGAGGGUUGCGAAGCCGCGAGGUGGAGCUAA